UUCAUCCCUGAGGAGGAGCGCGCGCGUGCGCGAGUGGAUCAGGUCACGUGGUCUCACAAGAUGGCGACUUCGGUGUUGGGAUGUGAGGAGUGAAAUCAGUGAAUCAGAGCUCAGAGCAGCGCGCGAUACAGCCACCGGCACCGGUCCCCUCGCGUCCCCGCGCACGUGCGUCCCCCGCGGCGCCCGACUCACUCCGCCAAACGCGUCUCCUCCGGAUCAUCAGGUUGUUUGUCAUAGAAUCAGACCCGCUGCUCAUGGGAUAGCUGUGGAUGUUAGGACAUAAGGUGUGUGUUGUUCAAAGCUUUGUGCGUCUGGAUCACUGACUGCGAUGGCCAUCCUUGUGUUCGAUAAUGAUGAGUACAGACCGCCUGUGUGGAAAUCCUACCUGUACCAGCUCCAGCAGGAGGCGCCACAUCCACGCAGAGUCACCUGCGUAUCCGAGGUGGAGAACCGGCCCAAGUACUAAGGGCCGGAGGAU